UGGUCUGGAUAUUGUCCUGUGUCCUCUGGUCUUUAUUCUAGGAAGGGUUGUCUUUGUUAUAUUUUCAUAGUUAUAUGUGGUUUUGGGAGGAGAUUUCUGCUGCUCUACUCACGCCGCCAUCUUCCGCCCCUCUGUGUAUAUGUUUUUGUAUGAAAAGUGUUGCUAACUAUAGUCAUUAUCUUAGUCUGUAUGUUUGUGUGUCUAAGCGUGUAAAUGAAAAAUACUUCCUACCUCUGGAUGGUAUUAAUAAAAAUUGAUUUAAAGACAAGCGCUUGUGAACAUUGAGCAUUCUAAAACUUCCAGAAAAUCUAAUAAAAAAUGUUAAGCAUUAAAGCUAAUUUAAGUGAAACAGACAUGUCCUUAUAGUUAACAACUGCCAAAGUUUACUUAAAGUCAUUUAAGUUGAUGUUACCUGUUAAAUAUUUCAAGAAGAUGCUUAAAGAAAAGCUUGACUUUGAUGUUUGGUAAAAGUUUUAUAAGUAAUCUGGCAUGGUUGCUAAAAAUAAGUAAACAAGUGUAGCAAAUAAACAUCUUAAUAAUAAUACUGUAUUAAUGUAUAAUGGUAUAUAUAUCUGCAAACAGCCUGAUAAUUUUUGUGGUAACCAAAAUUCUUAAAGUUUGCUAAGUUAUAUAGACAUAUUUUAUCUUAAUAUUAAAAAGACUAAGCUAAGUGUUGUUAACUAUGUAACCUGCAUUUGCUUUUAAACUUUCUUAUUAUCAUUCUGGUUAAAUAAUAAGUGUUAUUUAAUAACUAUAAUUCUAUUUAGGCAAGUGCCUUAAAAACUUUUGACAACUUCCCAAGACCAAAUUUAGAAAAGUGUUUUUACCUCUAAUUAACUCUGAUAUUUUCCAGAGGGCCCCUGGAACAUGUCAGAGGAAUUUCUUCUCCUCAUCAAGGAAAAUAUUUGACUAAUUUGGCUUAUUUCCCCGGUGUAUGUUUACCUGGAGAGCCCUGCCAAAGGGAAGGACGCCAAACUUUAUUACUGAGUGUUUCAUGUCACAGAAAUGCCAUGCUUCCCCCCGAGAUGCUCACUCCUGAUGCCCAGUUACAUUCACCUGUUAGCAUGGCUAUGAUCACUGGCUGUGUGUGUAUUGACUAUACUCAUGUGCCCUCUCACUGUAAUUCUACAAUCAGUGUAAAAUGGUCUUCUGGAUAUAGACUUCUAAAUGGUUGGGUAUUUUUGUGUAAUGGCAAAACAUAUCAAGCCCUUUCUUCACACUACCGAGGUGUUUGUGGGGUGGAACGCAUUCUUCCUGAUCUAAUAGACCAUCUGGAUAUAAGCGUAAGAGACGUCUCUGAGCUCUGCCAUCAGAUUGUGAUGAAAACUUGAAACUUGGAGAUCCUGCCACUGUUGCAGUUGCAGCUGCGUUCCUCCUGCCGGUUCCUGGACUUGUCGUACGAAUGCAGAAAGAGAUCUCUAAGCUGGCCUGUGCAUAUAGCAAAACAACAAAUUUGACUGCUUCUGUAUUAUCGGAACUCAACCAAGAACUGGGAGAAGUGCGAGCUGCAGAGCCUCAGGAUCGUGCUGCUAUGGACUGUCUGCUGUUAAAAGAGCACGUAGGAUGUGAACAGUUUCCAAGAAUGUGUUGUCUCAAUUUGAUUCUUCUCAAACUAUUCAAAAUCAAUUAGAUGAUAUCCAUCAUAUUGUCAAUAAGUUUUCACAAAUGCCUGGGUUACCUGAUUGGUUUUCUUGGUUUAGUUGGAUAUGGCCAGUAAUUGUAGGCCUGCUUUUACUGUGUAUCUGUAUUCCUGCUUGUUAAUGUGUGUACGCAAUUUAAUUAGUAGUUUGUUAAAACCUAUACAUGCUUAUGUUACUCUACAGGAAAUCAUGUCAAAGAAAUAAUCAAUCUUCUCAUAUUCUAGAAAUAAUCUCAUAUUCUCUUCCAUCUGCUACUUCUAUAGCUUUUUUUCUUCCUUUCAAAAUACAGCUCUUUCCUAGAAUUCGUGCCUCAUACCUAAAAUUGCUGUGCAUCAUAAUCCUUUUCACUGGCAAAGAUGUCUUAAAGCAAGUGCUGGACAUAAGCCACGGGGCAUAAAUCUAUAAAGAAGUGGAAAACUAACCUUUUCAAAGGAUAUUACUUCUCUCUCACUUACCAACUUUACAUCUCCCUGUAUGGCCCUGGAAGAUGGCUAGUUAGCCAGAGACGGGUAAGAUUCCUCAAGGGAGGAACAACCUAAGACAGGCACAGUCACAGGGGGGCCAUCAGGUGAGAGAUAGGGGGGCCAACAGAGGUGAGGCUUAGAACCUCACCCCCCCAGUUUUGAGAGAAAUCUGCACCCGUGGAUGUUUUGUUGCCCUUGCCCAGCUCAGACCAAAACACAGUCUAUAGGCACAGACCUGCUCACCUGCACCUACCCUCUAAUGGCACUACAUUUAUUUUCUAUCUUUGCUAUCCUUUACAUAAGUUCAAAACAUAGACUUUUAUUUUAUACUGUAGAAUGUAAAGAACUAUUCUAUGUCAAAAAACCUUCUAUUAGAACUGGUUUACUUAUUAUACUCCUAUAUCUUAAAAUAAAAGGGGGAUAUGUGGGAUUGAUGGGGUUGAUACAUAAUUCAAGUAAGGUAGAAAUCAAAUGUAUAAGCACACAUGACUUGACUGUUUUUCCCACACACUCUGUUGAUGUGUAAUCAAGGACUGAGUGGUGGGAACCAAAGCAGUUCUCAUGGCUCGGAGCCACCUUCACACAGUUUGGUAUCCUUCAGAAGCGUCGCGACCUUGGGCUAGACUCAAGGCCGGAUAAUGAUGUUUGAGUUCAUUGUAAGUUCAUUUAUUCAAUAAAUAUGAGAAAUGCCUUCUCGGCAUUGCUCUUGA